UGGGGAAUAUUGCGCAAUGGGGGAAACCCUGACGCAGCGACGCCGCGUGCGGGAUGAAGGCCUUCGGGUUGUAAACCGCUUUUGAUUGGGAGCAAGCCUUUUGGGUGAGAGUACCUUUCGAAUAAGCGCCGGCUAACUACGUGCCAGCAGCCGCGGUAAUACGUAGGGCGCAAGCGUUAUCCGGAAUUAUUGGGCGUAAAGAGCUUGUAGGCGGUUCGUCGCGUCUGGUGUGAAAGCCCAUCGCUUAACGGUGGGUUUGCGCCGGGUACGGGCGGGCUAGAGUGCAGUAGGGGAGACUGGAAUUCCCGGUGUAACGGUGGAAUGUGUAGAUAUCGAGAAGAACACCAAUGGCGAAGGCAGGUCUCUGGGCUGUUACUGACGCUGAGAAGCGAAAGCGUGGGGAGCGAACAGG
rnacentral:rRNA from 1 species